rnacentral:rRNA from 1 species
AGCGAACGCUGGCGGCAGGCCUAACACAUGCAAGUCGAACGAACUCUUCGGAGUUAGUGGCGGACGGGUGAGUAACACGUGGGAACGUGCCUUUUGGUUCGGAAUAACUCAGGGAAACUUGUGCUAAUACCGAAUGUGCCCUUCGGGGGAAAGAUUUAUCGCCAUUAGAGCGGCCCGCGUCUGAUUAGCUAGUUGGUGAGGUAACGGCUCACCAAGGCGACGAUCAGUAGCUGGUCUGAGAGGAUGACCAGCCACACUGGGACUGAGACACGGCCCAGACUCCUACGGGAAGCAGAAGUGGGGAAUCUUGCGCAAUGGGCGAAAGCCUGACGCAGCCAUGCCGCGUGAAUGAUGAAGGUCUUAGGAUUGUAAAAUUCUUUCACCGGGGACGAUAAUGACGGUACCCGGAGAAGAAGCCCCGGCUAACUUCGUG